AUUGAACGCUGGCGGAAUGCUUUACAUAUGCAAGUCGAACGGCAGCACGGACUUCGGUCUGGUGGCGAGUGGCGAACGGGUGAGUAAUGUAUCGGAACGUGCCCAGUCGUGGGGGAUAACGUAGUGAAAAUUACGCUAAUACCGCAUACGAUCUAUGGAUGAAAGCGGGGGAUCGCAAGACCUCGCGCGAUUGGAGCGGCCGAUAUCAGAUUAGGCACUUGGUGGGGUAAAGGCCCACCAAGCCAACGAUCUGUAGCUGGUCUGAGAGGACGCCCAGCCACACUGGAACUGAGACACGGUCCAGACUCCUACGGGAGGCAGCAGUGGGGAAUUGUGGACAAGUGGCGAAAGCCUGAUCCAGCCAUUCCGCGUGCAGGAUGAAGGCCCUCGGGUUGUAAACUGCUUUUGUACAGAACGAAAAGGUUUCUACUAAUACUAGGAGCUCAUGACGGUACUGUAAGAAUAAGCACCGGCUAACUACGUGCCAGCCGCCGCAGUAA
rnacentral:rRNA from 1 species